UCCGCACUGGUGUAACGGCUAGCAUAACGCGCUUUCAUAAUGGGUCUAAAGAUUCCAGAAAACGAUCCGCGUAGACCGGGGUUCGACUCCCCGGUGCGGAA